rnacentral:rRNA from 1 species
AGUUUGAUCCUGGCUCAGAUUGAACGCUGGCGGCAGGCCUAACACAUGCAAGUCGAGCGGUAGAGAGAAGCUUGCUUCUCUUGAGAGCGGCGGACGGGUGAGUAAUACCUAGGAAUCUGCCUGRUAGUGGGGGAUAACGUUCGGAAACGGACGCUAAUACCGCAUACGUCCUACGGGAGAAAGCAGGGGACCUUCGGGCCUUGCGCUAUCAGAUGAGCCUAGGUCGGAUUAGCUAGUUGGUGAGGUAAUGGCUCACCAAGGCUACGAUCCGUAACUGGUCUGAGAGGAUGAUCAGUCACACUGGAACUGAGACACGGUCCAGACUCCUACGGGAGGCAGCAGUGGGGAAUAUUGGACAAUGGGCGAAAGCCUGAUCCAGCCAUGCCGCGUGUGUGAAGAAGGUCUUCGGAUUGUAAAGCACUUUAAGUUGGGAGGAAGGGCAUUAACCUAAUACGUUAGUGUUUUGACGUUACCGACAGAAUAAGCACCGGCUAACUCUGUGCCAGCAGCCGCGGUAAUACAGAGGGUGCAAGCGUUAAUCGGAAUUACUGGGCGUAAAGCGCGCGUAGGUGGUUUGUUAAGUUGAAUGUGAAAUCCCCGGGCUCAACCUGGGAACUGCAUCCAAAACUGGCAAGCUAGAGUAUGGUAGAGGGUAGUGGAAUUUCCUGUGUAGCGGUGAAAUGCGUAGAUAUAGGAAGGAACACCAGUGGCGAAGGCGACUACCUGGACUGAUACUGACACUGAGGUGCGAAAGCGUGGGGAGCAAACAGGAUUAGAUACCCUGGUAGUCC